CUUUGCAAAACAAGAUAUUCUCAGACUUAGCAGAAACUGAAAUUUGAAAGGAGAAAAUGUCCACCUCCCAAACUUAGCUGAAAAUCAGUUCUCUACAGGUCACAGACAUUUCUGAAGACACUACAUACCACUAAAAAGGACUAGGCAGGAACCUUGAGGUCAAUGAAAAAGAAGCAAAGCAAAUGCUGGAGAAUGAAAGACAUCAAGGAUGAACAGCCUACAGGUAUAGGUCCUUCAGGCUUUCAAAACUGGCCCUGUUGAUGAAAAACAGCAACUAUCAUCAAUCAUGCUGAUUCAAAGUCAAAUACAGUGAAGUAGGAGCCUUCCCAAAAUCUUACGGCCACUGCAUCAAAAGCUACAAUAAACAUGUGUAUGGACAUAUGCAAUUCAUCAUUUACAAUAGCCUCCUAUGGCUAGUUAAAUAAAAUAAAACAACAAUCCUCAAUAUG